CCUGGAAUGAUACUACUGUAUGAACCUCAUGAAUCUAACUAUUUGCACGAAUCUGAAAGCAUUCUCAAAUGGAACGGUUCCACUUAUAGUCUUAGACAUAGCCACAAUAAGCCACAGGACAAGUUAUAUGCUAUUAUAAUAUGCAACUAUAACACUGACAAAUCUAACGAAUCUAACAACCCCCCUUACGAUUCACGAUUUGAACAAAGUCGAGUGUAUUGGACAUAAAUUCAAUAUAAUGCCAGAAAUACUUUUCUUAAAGUUUAAACAUAGGCGUAAAUUUAUCAAUUUGCCAUCACUUAAAAUUUACACUCAAUGAAUUUUUUUU